GACUGCUCCGGUUGCCUUGGUGGUAAGAGCGUCCGCCUCGUAUGUGGGAGGUAGUGGGUUUGAUCUCCGGCCGAGUCA